rnacentral:misc_RNA from 1 species
GAUGAAGAACGCAGCUAAAUGCGAUACGUAAUGUGAAUUGCAGAAUUCAGUGAAUCAUCGAAUCUUUGAACGCAUAUUGCGCUCUCUGGUAUUCCGGAGAGCAUGCUUGUUUGAGUAUCAGUAAACACCUCAACUCCCUUUUCUUUUUUGAAAUUGGAGCUGGACUUGAGUGAUCCCAACGCUUUCUUCCAAGAAAGUGGCGGGUUGCUUGAAAUGCAGGUGCAGCUGAACUUUUCUCUGAGCUAUAAGCAUAUCUAUUUAGUCUGCCUAAAAAACAGAUUAUUACCUUUGCUGCAGCUAACAUAAAGGAGACUAGUUCUUGUGCUGACUGAUGCAGGAUUCACAGAGACAGCUUCGGCUGACUUUGUAAACUCGAUCUCAAAUCAAGUAAGACUACCCGCUGAACUUAAGCAUAUCAAUAAGCGGAGGA